CAGGUGCCAUUGUGUACUUCUGAAUCUGAAUAGGAAUGUGAAUAGAUAUUGACAGAGGACCCCACUGGGGUACUGUAUAUGCAUCAGUGUGCGUCAUUGAUCUGCAAGCUAGUGUUGUUUGGUCCAGGUUAGGAGGAACCUGUUUCCAGAAAAGAUCAAAACUUAACUGAUGCUAACCGGAGUACAUGAACAUAGAUCUCCGGUUGCCAGUGAAAGUAAAAUCAUUUGCUUGUUGAACCAAUUAGUUGCUUACGUACCAACAGAUUGCAGAUAAUUUUCUACUAUACUUAUGGAACCAAAUGAAAUUCUGUGAGAACAUUUAUUUAUUGAUUUAUC